GUCAUCUCCUUAAGAAAACUGGAACCUUAGUUGGAUCCUUAGACUUCUGUUUGAGGGAAAAACAUGCCUACGUCUCUAUUCCUGAAAUACAAGAUGAAGCAAGUUUACCUCCAGCUUCUAGACUCAAGUAAUCCUCCCAUCUUAGCCUACCACAUAGCUGGAGUGGAAGAAUAAAUUAUUAACAACUAUAUGCUAUAGAGCAUUCUCAACAAGAGACUUCUUCAGGACUUGCUGCAAAUGUCAGUGCUGUU